CCUACGGGUGGCAGCAGUGAGGAAUAUUGGACAAUGGGCGCGAGCCUGAACCAGCCAAGCAGCGUGAAGGAUGAAGGCCCUACGGGUGGUAAACUUUUUUUAUAAAGGAAUAAAGUGAGGCACGUGUGCCCUUUUGUAUGUACUUUAUGAAUAAGGAUCGGCUAACUCCGUGCCAGCAGCCGCGGUAAUACGGAGGGGCCGAGCGUUAUCCGGAAUUAUUGGGUUUAAAGGGAGCGUAGUUGGGUUGUUAAGUCAGUUGUGAAGGUUUGCGGCUCAACCGUAAAAUUGCAAUUGAUACUGGCAGUCUUGAGUACAGUUGAGGUAGGCGGAAUUCGUGGUGUAGCGGUGAAAUGCUUAGAUAUCACGAAGAACUCCGAUUGCGAAGGCAGCUUACUAGACUGCCACUGACAUUGAUGCUCGAAAGUGUGGGUAUCAAACAGGAUUAGAUACCCCAGUAGUC
rnacentral:rRNA from 1 species